rnacentral:lncRNA from 1 species
AGCCGUAGGAGGGAUGAGCACACUUACUGGAACAGGUGUUAAUCUAAUAUUGGUCGGGAUGUGGAAGACCUAUUUUCCAGAAGCAAACCCGAUCAGCUUCAGUACCUGGUUCUGUUUUGGGUUCCCCUUGGCUUUAGUGAUUUUCGUUGCUUUGUGGGCUAUUUUGUGCUUGUUCUAUUGUUCAAGGGGAUCUGGACCUGCUCUCUCCGAGUAUUUGGACAAAGCAAAUCUCAAGAGAGAGCUUGACAUGUUAGGUAAGACCCUGCUGUCUGUCCAAUUAAUGACAGCUACAGCUAAUUAAUGUUCAGUGGCUUAAUUCUAUUGUUUGGUGUUUUUCUUGGCAGGUCCAAUGGCUUUUGCUGAAAAGAUGGUACUAGCUGUAUUUGGGGUGAGUUGAGCUGUAAUUUUUUUUUUCUCCCCUUUCAAGUGAUGUGCAUAAUGUUAUUGGAAAUGUCUUCAAGUUAAUUUAAGAUAAAUGAUGCAGAUGCUAAUAGCAUUGUGGAUGACAAGAUCAAUAACAGAUGACAUUCCAGGUUGGGGAGCACUCUUCAAUGACCGUGCUGGUGAUGGAACUGCUAGUGUGAGCACUCUUUGGUCUUUUGUUUAUCAUUUGAGAACAUAAUUAAAUGAGGCAUGUUUAAUCAAGCUUUUGGAUGAUUUUUAACUGAAUUAUUAAUACAUAUGUAUACAUACACACAUAAAUAUAGGUUGUGAUGGCAACAUUGUUGUUCAUAAUUCCGAGCAUGAAGCAAAAGGGAGAAAAAUUGAUGGAUUGGAACAAAUGCAAGAAGCUACCUUGGAACAUUAUAUUGCUUUUAGGGGCUGGCUUUGCUAUAGCUGAUGGAGUCAGGACUAGUGGUCUUGCUGAUGAUCUAUCAAAAGCAUUGGAUUUCCUGGAGGCAGCGCCCUAUUUAGCCAUUGCACCCAUCGUAUGUCUGAUUAGCGCGAUUAUUACUGAAUUCACAUCAAAUAAUGCCACAACAACCCUCGUUGUUCCACUUCUGAUCCAAAUAGCAAAAACUAUGCAUGUUCAUCCAUUGCUUCUUAUGGUUCCUGGAGCAAUUGGAGCACAAUUUGCUUUCUUGUUGCCGACUGGAACCCCUUCAAAUAUUGUUGGAUUCACAACCGGGCACAUCGAAAUUCAAGAUAUGAUCAAGACAGGGCUGCCCCUUAAGAUUGCUGGCAUUGCUGCUCUGGCCUUUCUAAUGCCUACACUUGGUAAAUAAUCUUACCGCGACAUUAAUUGUUUACUGUUUCUUGAUACAAGUGUAUUGACAAAUUUUGGAUAUUGCAGGUGCUUAUGUUUUUGGGACAGAUGUGGAUGUUCAGUAGCUGCAAACUCUUGUAAACUGUGGAGGUUUCUCUCAAUCAAGUCUCCGUAACAGACAUUGGGGGACCCUGAAUAGGAAUUAUAGCAAUGCUAGUGUUUGAUGAGAUGAUGAUAAAAAUUGACGCUUUUCCUAUAAGAAAAGACGCCUAUUGUAUAUUUGCGUGCCUAAUGAAUGCUUCCCUUAGUGGUUAGCACACCAUAUUGAGUUUUUCCCCUUUUAUUGAACAUAUAUAGUUCAAAAUAUAAUUUCUGCAUUUUCUAUCCGCCCAUGAGAAGCACUAGUACUAGUACUACUUCUGCUAACCUAGCUUCAGCUUCAAGACAACAUCAUAUAAAAGAAGGCAUAUGUAUAUAAAUAUUCAAGUUCUCACCGGAUUUUGACUAGAAUCUGAUUUGAAUUAUUUACUGGUUGUUCUUACCAGAUCAAAGUCAAAUUUGAUUUAAAUAAAUAAAUUUAUAUUUAUGGAGAGAUUGGGCUAGCAGAGAUAGGUUUUUUUUUUUUUUUAAAGAUUUGGGGCAAAAGAUAUAGCUGAGGUGAUCUCAAAGGUGAGUUGUAAUGGUUUAGGAGGUGAACUAAGAUAUUUUGAAUUUGGAAUAACUAAGAUAACUCAAUGAAACUCGUUGGAGUUAGCAUAGAGCGUUGAUAUGGCAAGCUUAAGAGAGCUCAAUGGUACCCUAGGUGCAAUCAAGAGAUAAUUCUAGAGAGCUUAUCAGUAUAUCUCAUGUUAGCUCGUAUAUGAAGUUUAAAACCAUUGUAAUAAGUAGAAAAUAAAUGUAAAUAAUAAAGAGCAUAUAAGAUUUUACAAGAUUCGCCAUUCGGCCUAUAUCCACGGGGGUAAUUUAUUUCCAAUAAAUAAGAUAUUUUGAAUUUGGAAUAACUAAGAUAACUCAAUGAAACUCGUUGGAGUUAGCAUAGAGCGUUGAUAUGGCAAGCUUAAGAGAGCUCAAUGGUACCCUAGGUGCAAUCAAGAGAUAAUUCUAGAGAGCUUAUCAGUAUAUCUCAUGUUAGCUCGUAUAUGAAGUUUAAAACCAUUGUAAUAAGUAGAAAAUAAAUGUAAAUAAUAAAGAGCAUAUAAGAUUUUACAAGAUUCGCCAUUCGGCCUAUAUCCACGGGGGUAAUUUAUUUCCAAUCUAAUAAAUAAAUAAAGUAUUACAUAUAUAUAUAGGAAAUUGUGGAACAUUUUUUGGGACAAAGCCUAGUGGCUGCAUAUGGUGGGCCCCAUCAUGUGCAGCAACAAAUUAAAAAAAAAAACCACCAGGGGUCGUUGGAUUCCUAGUGGAUUCCCAGACAAUGAUCCAAUCCGAAACUUUCAGAUUAGAUAACUGUCCUCUAUAUAUAUAUAUAUAUAUAUAUAUAUGAUAAUAUUAACAAAAUCUUAUUAAAGUUUGUUUAUGAUGAAUAAUAACAUGAGGAAGAUGUGGGUCUUAUGGAGAUUAGAUAGUUUCUAAGAAAAAAAUAAUGAAAAAAUUUCUUUGAGAGAUGAGAUCGCUAAAAUAUUUCAUGGAGAUAUAAAAAUGAAGAAAAAAACCCUAAAAAUGGAGGAAGAAGAAGAUGAAGCAGCUUCUCAAGAAAUCAAAUAUGGAGAAAAAGCCAAUUAUCUUGUGUCUUGAGCUAAAUUUCUAGGAUAAACGCCCUAGGGACAUUUUUAUCUUUUCUAUCAUACGGAGCUAAAUUUGGUGAAUAAUUAAUUCCUUUAACCUUCAUGUGGUCAUUGCUCUUUACCACGUGGCAGAAACUGGUGCAGUCGUCGUACUAUUUUUUAAGGGAUAGUUGAGCAGUGCUACCAUGUCCUUUCCUCAUUGCUAUGUCAGCAAAUUAUUCUUCUAUUGGUCCCUUGUUUUUAGCCUAAUAGACAAGAUAUUUAUCCCUUUUUCUGAUGGCAUGCAGCCCACACGUGAGGGCUCCAAUUAUCAUUUUUUAAUUCCACUUUCACUUUUAAACUGGACAAAUUUCCUGGAGUUAUCCUCUCUCUCUUUCAAAGAUUACCUCUAACUUGUCUUGAGCUAUCCCUUAUUCACUUAAAAGUGUUAACUUUUCUUCUCGUUUAUUCUCUACUGCCACAUGUACUUGCCUAUUUUUCUAAAAUAAUGUCCUAAAUUUACCCAAAACAAGAUCCAUCUAGUUUCUUGUGUUGAAAUAAUUAAGGCACAAGAAACUUAAGAGAAAAUGUUGUGGGGGUGACAUGUGGCAACUCGCUGCUGAGUCGCCUUUUGUUAAUUAGUAAACUUCUAAGUUAUUUUGGAGUCUGCAGUUGAGCUUUCUCACAGCUCUAAUGAUUUCAAACUAAGUUAAACUUAGCUAUAGCAAUUCAUAACUAUGAUGUACAAAACUGUAGUAAGAGAUAGCUGAGCUACAAUUUGCCAGUUCUAGUGAUUUCAAUACUGAGCUAUACUCAAUUGUGGCGAUGAUAAUUGAGUUGCACUCAAUUAGCUCUCGCAAUUUAUAACUGAGCUCGGCGAUUCAAUUAUGAGCUAUAUAGAGCUUAGGCAAUUUUAAUUUUGAAGUAUACUUAGCUUUUUGAUUGUGACAAUAAAACAUAGCGAUAACUCUUGAUGAUAUACAUAAAUUUUAUAGGAGAGGAGUUUUCAAUCCCUUAAGUAUGUGAUCUUACUAAGAUAUUCUCAUGUUGAUAAUUUGUUUAUGUUUACAUCUCUUGAGUGACAAUCAAUAUGAGUAAGUUGAAAAAAGUCUAGCUCUAGUUAUCGAGAGCUAUACUCUUAGAGUUUAAAUACGAUGAGUUAUAAGUGAAAAUAAGUUACAAUCAAUAGAUCAUAAUAAAUAAGGAGUUAACUAUUCAUUGACAACCACAUGACAUUAAAGAUAAAUCAUUCAUCUAAUAAUGUAUACUAACCCUAUACUAAUAAAUAGAUUUAAGAACUUCUUCAAUCACGUCUCAUGAUGCAUAGUAAGAGUAAAUCAUUCAAUCACAUCCAUGAGAAAACUAAAAUGAAUGUUAAUUGAUGUACGAAACUUGUGAUACUUAUGGAAAGGGACUCAAAAUUGAAUCUUGAAAACUGGGUCCUGAGAUUUUGAAUGUGAGGUUGGAGUGGCUUAGAUAUGUGAUUUUUAUUGAUUUUUUUUUCCAUAUGUUUGACUUGUUUUACGAGGUAGUGAUUGAAAAUCUUGUAGCCUAAAUUUGUAACAUAAAUUUAAUCGAAUUAAAUUCAGUUUGGUUUAGAUUGAGUUCACCAUUUGAAUCCAGUCCUAAUACUUUAAGGUAGCAUUUCCUAAUUGGAUUGGAGUGAGAAUCCUGAGGAAUGAGAAUCUUAGGAUUGGAAGUGUAGAGUGGGAGUGGGAGUAGAUUGUUUAUUUGCACUGGAAUGGAAGCAUGGAAUGAAAAUCAGAAUCCAAUUUAUGUGUUUACUUUAUCUUGGAUUUGGAGUAAAUAGUUUCAAAUUAUAAUUUUAUCCUUAUUUAAAUAAUAAUAAUUUUUAAUUACAAAGUUAAUAAAAAUAUAUUUAAUGAAUAAACAUUUAUUUUAUUAUAUUUGUAAAUUUAUAAUGAUUAUUAAUAUUCUUAAUUAUGAACAUCACAAUUUUUAUUAAUUUUAAUUUUAAUUAUAUAAAUUAAAAAUUGUUGAUAAUGGCAAUAUAAAUGAAAUAUUUUUGCUGUUAACAUAGUAUGAAAUUAAUAUUUUCUUAAAAUAAACUAUUUAUUAGUAUUAAUUAUUAAUAUUAAAUAAAUAUAAUACUAUAAUUUUUAAAUAAAUAUAAUAAUAUUAUAUUUUUAAAUAAAAAGGGUAUAUAAUAAUAUUAUUAAUUCUCUAUUAAUAUAAUAUUAUUAUUUUUAAGUAAAUUAAACUUAGAAUCAAACCCAAUUAUUAUUUAGUUAAAUAUAAUAAUAUUAUUUAAAUAUUUAUUAAAUAUAAUUAUAGUAAAUUUAAUAAAAGGAAGGGUACAUAUAAAAUGAAACAUUAUUUUAUUUAAUAUAAUUAUAUUAAAUUUAUUAUUUAUUAAUAUAAUACUAUUUAGUACAAAAUUAAUAUUUUCUUAGAAUAAACUAUUUAUUAUUAUUAAUUAUUAAUAUUAAAUAAAUAAAGUACUAUUAUUUUUAAAAUAAAUAUAAUAAUAUUAUAUUAUUAAAUAAAGAUAACAUAUAGUAAUAUUUAUUAAUUCUCUAUUAAUAUAAUAAUGUUAUUUUUAAGUAAUUUUAACUUAUAAUCAAUACAAAUUAUUAUUUAGUUAAAUAUAAUAAUAUUUAAAUAAAUAUAAUAUUAGUUAUUUUAUUUUAUUAAAUAUAAAAAUUAAAUCAAAUUAAAUUAAAAAAAAAGGUAGAAAAAGGAGAGGUCACAUGGGAGUCCUACUUCCACUCCCCACUCUAAAAAUAUGUGGGGCUUAUAGAGUGAAAUUUUUAAUUCUUUCCCAAUUAAUUAAAAUAAACAUUAAAAUAAAAAAAAUACAUACUCCUCGAUUCCACUCCAAAAAAUAAACAAAAGAUAAAUUGAAUGUGUCGUAGUUUGAACGGAAACUGAUUUACGCGCCCCUAAAAAUUUAUACAUGCAUUAUCCGCAGCAUACUGAAUUGUCAGUGAAUUCCUUCCACGAUGCCUCGUCACUAGCAUUUAAUAUGUAAAAAAUAAGGUCUGCAAUAAAAAAAUUGGAUAAAUUAAUUUAUUUAUUAGAUGUAGCUAGGUGGCACUCGCUUUUAUACGAUUUUAUGGAAAACAAUAUUUAUUUAAAAAGAAAAAGGUUCUCAGAGAGCUCUCGCCAGCAAAUAAUCGAUCAUUAUCCCUUGUGAAAAAUUCUUAAUUAUAACACAGUAAAUCUACGAUAAAUAAAUAUUUGGUAAGUUAAUAAUCUUGAUUCUCUGAUUCAGGCUGAUUUAUUAAAUUAAUAAUUUCUCUAAUGCUUUAGAUAAUAAUAUUUUUAAAUUUUUUAGGACCAAAUGAAAAUAUAAAUUAAAAAUUAAUCAAAUGAAAAAAUUAAUAGUAAAUAAAAUAUAAACAACUUCAAUUAUCUGCAUUCAACUAUUUGCAAAACCUACAUCUAAAGUUAUUGAUUUUUUAUUUGUUCCUAAAUUGAACUUAGUCUUGUUUUUUUUUUUUGUGUGUAAACUUGAUUUUUUUUUUUUUUGGUGUUAAAAGUAAUUAUUUAAAGCUACUGUUGCUUGAAAUGCCUUUUUGCGAAAACAAAACUGUCUUAUUGAUCAUGAUCAUUGAUCAUCAUCAAUAGAGAAACCCACUAUACUUGAAUAAUCUCUUCGUCAAUAGAUGAUUCUAUCAGUGUAUUAUUUUCACUAAGAUAAUUCAAAAGGCUCUCAAUAUCUAUCGUAUUUUUGAAAUGUAGACCGAAAAUAACUUCACCUAGUUCAUGGAUGCCUUUGUCUUCACCAACUUGUUGUCAAAUAACCGUACCUUGGCCUAACCGGAACUUGCAAUGACCAAAACAAUCCGUAAUGGUUGUUCUUUUUUUAUUAAAAAAUCUCUUUGUAAAUUAUUAAAUAUUUAUUUAUCAAUAAAUUAAUAGACUAUUCAUUUAUUAACUUUACAAAUUUUUUUUUUUUUUUUGCUAGUGCCGGCAAUAUUAGUUUAUAAAAAUUUUAAUGUGUGUAAUAAGAUUAAAAUUUGUAUCACCGUUGUCUGAAAUUACGAACAAUUUUUGCUCAUCUUGCGCGUUACUAGUCGAAUGCGUGUCUUAAAUUCUACGGUUACUUUUUUGUCACCCUCGUAAGGAUCGAUAAAUUUUGCCGCGUCUAUCAGCAACCAUCACCGCUUCUUGUUUCUUUGGGACUCAAUUUUCUUCCAAACUCCAGCAUCAUCGCCUGUCCCAGUAUCCAUAGCAAUAGCACCAUACACUUGCUUUGAAAGCACCACAAACAACAUCAACUUUCAAUUAUUUAUUUAUUUAUUUAUUUUUAACUCAAUCAAAAUAAUUUAUUGUAUAAUAAAUUACGAAAAACCACCAAAACCAAAACAAAUAGGAAGCCCUAAAAUUUCAGGGUUAUGAUUUUGCAGCCGCUAGUCACCAUCGUCCACGCCGCGUCGAUCAGCUGCAGGCCACGGCUCUUCGUCCCUCCAGCAGCCUCCCAAACUUGCAUCACGCUCCUGCCUCGUAUUUCCAGCGAGAACUGGCCCUGUUGGUGGUUGUGUUCGCUUCGGCCUUGCCAUUGGCUAUGUGUCCUUUGUGAUGGAGGGGAAAAGUGAACAACCCCUAUGCUGUUGAGCAUGCAUGGAGAAGGAAGAAAUUGAGCACGGCGCAGCGCGGAUGGAGAAGGAAGAAAAGACAAUUUUUUAUUUAUCAAUCACUCGAAUUUAAUAUCCUGGGCCUUUAUUAAUAGUUGUCGAUAAAAUAAUAAUAAUAAUAAUGAUAAUUUAUUUUAACUAAAAGUAAAAAAGAAAAAAAGAUCGGAAGAUUCAUAGUUGGAAAUUCUGUAAUGUUCCAGAAGAACAAGAAAGUAUCACAUUUAAAGCUCACGUAAUUUUCUUAUCUCUGCUGUCUAAUUAGUUAUCGUGGGGCUACCUAAAUUAAAUAGGAUAGGAUAAGGUUGUUUAAAUUCAUUAAUUUU